rnacentral:rRNA from 1 species
AGGACGAACGCUGGCGGCGUGCUUAACACAUGCAAGUCGANCGGGGAUUGCUGCUUCGGUGGCAAUUCUAGCGGCGGACGGGUGAGUAACGCGUGGGUAACCUGCCUCACACUGGGGGGAUAACAGUUAGAAAUGACUGCUAAUACCGCAUAAGUGCACAGGACCGCAUGGUCUAGUGUAAAAAAACUCCGGUGGUGUGAGAUGGACCCGCGUCUGAUUAGCUAGUUGGUGAGGUAACGGCCCACCAAGGCGACGAUCAGUAGCCGGCCUGAGAGGGUGAACGGCCACAUUGGGACUGAGACACGGCCCAAACUCCUACGGGAGGCAGCAGUGGGGAAUAUUGCACAAUGGGGGAAACCCUGAUGCAGCAAUGCCGCGUGAGUGAAGAAGUAUUUCGGUAUGUAAAGCUCUAUCAGCAGGGAAGAAAAUGACGGUACCUGACUAAGAAGCUCCGGCUAAAUACGUG